CCUACGGGUGGCAGCAGUGGGGAAUAUUGCACAAUGGGCGCAAGCCUGAUGCAGCCAUGCCGCGUGUGUGAAGAAGGCCUUCGGGUUGUAAAGCACUUUCAGCGGGGAGGAAGGCGUUAAGGUUAAUAACCUUGGCGAUUGACGUUACCCGCAGAAGAAGCACCGGCUGACUCCGUGCCAGCAGCCGCGGUAAUACGGAGGGUGCAAGCGUUAAUCGGAAUUACUGGGCGUAAAGCGCACGCAGGCGGUCUGUCAAGUCGGAUGUGAAAUCCCCGGGCUCAACCUGGGAACUGCAUUCGAAACUGGCAGGCUAGAGUCUUGUAGAGGGGGGUAGAAUUCCAGGUGUAGCGGUGAAAUGCGUAGAGAUCUGGAGGAAUACCGGUGGCGAAGGCGGCCCCCUGGACAAAGACUGACGCUCAGGUGCGAAAGCGUGGGGAGCAAACAGGAUUAGAUACCCGUGUAGUC
rnacentral:rRNA from 1 species